UUUAGUGUACCUCAGUUUUCAGGAAAAUUGCAGCCGCUGGCGUAUCUCACUUUGUCAACUAAUUCGACCGAUAUACCUAGUCAUUCGCCUGUGUCUGUGUAUAUUUUUGAGAGUAUAGUUUAGACUAUUCUUUAUACUUUUUAGCUAUAUUUAACAAUCUCUGAAAUUAUUGUCAAAAUCGGUCGAGUAGUUUUUGUAUAUACAUAAGCUCAAGGAGUAGUAGUGUUCACACAGAUCCUCCUCUGCUGUCGGUUCAAACGGAAAAAAAAAAAAAAAAAGCUACAAUCAUACAUUUGUUUUUAUGUCAUUUUAUUUUGAUUUGAUAAUAAAAGUCUCUUUCAUGAGUGCAAAAUUUGGUGCCGACAACGGGGAUUUGAGAUUAUUAACAAAGUAUGCAAAAUCAUUUAUAUAUAAAGAAGAAGAAGAAGAAGAAGAAGAAGAAGAAGAAGAUAAACAACGGAUACACAAUCAUUUGGUGAGAUGAAGGCCGGAGGGUAUGUAAAAACAUAUAUUCCAAACAUAUACAAGAACCAUUUGAAGAACUUUUACCUAAACACAAAAACCUAUGAAAAAACUGUAAUCAAUUGUCAUUGCCGUGAAGUCAAGUUAAUUUACUUUUCGUAUCAUGUGGAACCAGCUAGGAAAUACUGAUCCGUUGACUCUUUUUCGAUUUUG